GACGAACGCUGGCGGCGUGCUUAACACAUGCAAGUCGAGCGGAAAGGCUCCUUCGGGGGUACUCGAGCGGCGAACGGGUGAGUAACACGUGAGUAAUCUGCCCUUCACUUGGGGAUAACCUUCGGAAACGGUGGCUAAUACCCGAUACGACCUCUUCUCGCAUGAGAUGGGGGUGGAAAGUUUUUUCGGUGGGGGAUGUGCUCGCGGCCUAUCAGCUUGUUGGUGGGGUAAUGGCCUACCAAGGCUUCGACGGGUAGCCGGCCUGAGAGGGUGACCGGCCACAGUGGGCCUGAGACACGGCCCAGACUCCUACGGGAGGCAGCAGUGGGGAAUAUUGGACAAUGGGCGGAAGCCUGAUCCAGCAACGCCGCGUGAGGGAUGACGGCCUUCGGGUUGUAAACCUCUUUCAGCGGGGACGAAGCCUUUGGGUGACGGUACCCGCAGAAGAAGCACCGGCCAACUACGUGCCAGCAGCCGCCGUAACAC
rnacentral:rRNA from 1 species